rnacentral:rRNA from 1 species
UACCCUUCUUAACGAACAGCUAUCAUUUUAUUAAGUUAAUGUGGUAGUCUAUCGUUCUUUACUUUGAGAAAAUUAGAGUGUCAAAGCAGGUUUUUGCCCGAAUAUUACUCUUGGAAUAAUACUAUAGGACUUUAGACUUAUUUGAUGGUGAGUAGGACUGAGGUAAUGAUUGAUAGGGACGGUUGGGGUCAUUCGUACUGUAAAGCGAGCGGUGAAAUGCUUGGACCUUUAUAUGACGACCUACUGCGAAAGCAUUUGACUAGGACGUUCCCGUUGAUCAAGAACGAAAGUUGGGGGAUCGAAGACGAUCAGAUACCGUCGUAGUCUCAACCAUAAACUAUGCCAGCUAGGGAUUGGAAGUCGAUCUUAUUUAUGACACUUUCAGCACCUUAUGAGAAAUCAAAGCAUUUGGGUUCCGGGGGGAGUAUGGUCGCAAGGCUGAAACUUAAAGGAAUUGACGGGAGGGCACCACCAGGAGUGGAGCCUGCGGCUUAAUUUGAUUCAACACGGGAAAACUUACCAGGUCCGGACAAAGUAAGGAUUGACAGAUUGAAAGCUCUUUCUUGAUUCUUUGGGUGGUGGUGCAUGGCCGUUCUUAGUUGGUGGAGUGAUUUGUCUGGUUAAUUCCGUUAACGAACGAGACCUCAGCCUGCUAAAUAGUGUUUUCAUCUUUGGAUGCUUAUACUUCUUAGAGGGACUACUUAUGCUAUAACUGAGCGGAAGCUUGAGGCAAUAACAGGUCUGUGAUGCCCUUAGAUGUUCUGGGCCGCACGCGGGCUACACUGGUGAUCUCAACAAGCCUUCACUUGGUUGAAAAGCCAGGUUAAUCUUUGAAAUAUCACCGUGCUUGGGAUAGACUAUUGCAAUUUUUAGUCUUCAACGAGGAAUUCCUAGUAAACGCGAGUCAUCAGCUCGCAUUGAUUACGUCCCUGCCCUUUGUACACACCGCCCGUCGCUCCUACCGAUUGGAUGAUUCGGUAAGCAUUUGAGAUCUGGUCUGACUCUCCUAACGGAGCUUCUGACUGGAGAACUUAUCAAACCUAAUCA